rnacentral:rRNA from 1 species
UACGUAGGGGGCGAGCGUUAUCCGGAAUUACUGGGCGUAAAGCGCACGCAGGCGGUUCGCCAAGUUUGGAGUGACAGUUGUCGGCUCAACCGACAAAGGACUUCAAAAACUGGUGAACUUGAGGACGAGAGAGGAACAUGGAACUCCAGGUGUAGUAGUGAAAUGCGUAGAUAUCUGGAAGAACACCAAUGGCAAAGGCAAUGUUCUGGCUCGUUUCUGACGCUCAGGUGCGAAAGCCAGGGGAGCGAACGGG